ACCGACCUGCCCCAUACACCGGAAUAGCUCCUGGAAACGGGUGGUAAUGCCGGAUGCUCCAGCCUUCCGCAUGGUGGGCUGGGAAAGAUUUCAUCGGUAUGGGAUGGGGUCGCGUCCUAUCAGGUAGUCGGCGGGGUAACGGCCCACCGAGCCUACGACGGGUAGCCGGCCUGAGAGGGCGACCGGCCACAUUGGGACUGAGAUACGGCCCAGACUCCUACGGGAGGCAGCAGUGGGGAAUAUUGCACAAUGGGCGCAAGCCUGAUGCAGCGACGCCGCGUGCGGGAUGACGGCCUUCGGGUUGUAAACCGCUUUUGAUCGGGAGCAAGCCUUCGGGUGAGUGUACCUUUCGAAUAAGCACCGGCUAACUACGUGCCAGCAGCCGCGGUAAUACGUAGGGUGCAAGCGUUAUCCGGAAUUAUUGGGCGUAAAGGGCUCGUAGGCGGUUCGUCGCGUCCGGUGUGAAAGUCCAUCGCUUAACGGUGGAUCUGCGCCGGGUACGGGCGGGCUGGAGUGCGGUAGGGGAGACUGGAAUUCCCGGUGUAACGGUGGAAUGUGUAGAUAUCGGGAAGAACACCAAUGGCGAAGGCAGGUCUCUGGGCCGUUACUGACGCUGAGGAGCGAAAGCGUGGGGAGCGAACAGGAUUAGAUACCCUGGUAGUCCACGCCGUAAACGGUGGAUGCUGGAUGUGGGGCCCGUUCCACGGGUUCCGUGUCGGAGCUAACGCGUUAAGCAUCCCGCCUGGGGAGUACGGCCGCAAGGCUAAAACUCAAAGAAAUUGACGGGGGCCCGCACAAGCGGCGGAGCAUGCGGAUUAAUUCGAUGCAACGCGAAGAACCUUACCUGGGCUUGACAUGUUCCCGACCGCUCCAGAGAUGGGGCUUCCCUUCGGGGCGGGUUCACAGGUGGUGCAUGGUCGUCGUCAGCUCGUGUCGUGAGAUGUUGGGUUAAGUCCCGCAACGAGCGCAACCCUCGCCCUGUGUUGCCAGCGCGUCAUGGCGGGAACUCACGGGGGGACCGCCGGGGUCAACUCGGAGGAAGGUGGGGAUGACGUCAGAUCAUCAUGCCCCUUACGUCCAGGGCUUCACGCAUGCUACAAUGGCCGGUACAACGGGAUGCGACAUGGCGACAUGGAGCGGAUCCCUGAAAACCGGUCUCAGUUCGGAUUGGAGUCUGCAACCCGACUCCAUGAAGGCGGAGUCGCUAGUAAAUCGCGAUCAGCACGCCGCGAUG
rnacentral:rRNA from 1 species